rnacentral:tRNA from 1 species
AAGUUAUGUCGGCACAGAUAAAAGCUUCUAACUUUAUAUCUGAGAGGUUCAACUCCUUUCAUAACUUU